GACGAACGCUGGCGGCGUGCUUAACACAUGCAAGUCGAGCGGAGCGUCGAACGGGUGAGUAACGCGUGCGUAACUGCCCCCCUCUCUGGGAUAACAGUUGGAAACGGCUGCUAAUACCGGAUAGUGGGGGAUGACUCGCGUCCAAUCCGCUUGUUGGUUGGGUAGUGGCCGACCAAGGCGACGACGGGUAGCCGGCCUGAGAGGGGGACCGGCCACAUUGGGCUGAGAUACGGCACAAACUCGUACCGGAGGCAGCAGUGGAGAAUAUUGCACAGUGGGGGAAACCCUGAUGCAGCAACGCGCGUGCGGAAUGACGGCCUUCGGGUUGUAAACCGCUUUCAGCCAUGACGCGGUAGUUGCAGAAGAAGCACCGGCUAACUACGUGCCAGCCGCCGCGGUAAUAC
rnacentral:rRNA from 1 species